rnacentral:rRNA from 1 species
AAGCGUUAAUCGGAAUUACUGGGCGUAAAGCGCACGCAGGCGGUUUGUUAAGUCAGAUGUGAAAUCCCCGCGCUUAACGUGGGAACUGCAUUUGAAACUGGCAAGCUAGAGUCUUGUAGAGGGGGGUAGAAUUCCAGGUGUAGCGGUGAAAUGCGUAGAGAUCUGGAGGAAUACCGGUGGCGAAGGCGGCCCCCUGGACAAAGACUGACGCUCAGGUGCGAAAGCGUGGGGAGCAAACAGGAUUAGAUACCCUGGUAGUCCACGCUGUAAACGAUGUCGACUUGGAGGUUGUGCCCUUGAGGCGUGGCUUCCGGAGCUAACGCGCUAAGUCGACCGCCUGGGGAGUACGGCCGCAAGGUUAAAACUCAAAUGAAUUGACGGGGGCCCGCACAAGCGGUGGAGCAUGUGGUUUAAUUCGAUGCAACGCGAAGAACCUUACCUACUCUUGACAUCCACGGAAUUCGCCAGAGAUGGCUUAGUGCCUUCGGGAACCGUGAGACAGGUGCUGCAUGGCUGUCGUCAGCUCGUGUUGUGAAAUGUUGGGUUAAGUCCCGCAACGAGCGCAACCCUUAUCCUUUGUUGCCAGCACGUAAUGGUGGGAACUCAAAGGAGACUGCCGGUGAUAAACCGGAGGAAGGUGGGGAUGACGUCGAGUCAUCAUGGCCCUUACGAGUAGGGCUACACACGUGCUACAAUGGCAUAUACAAAGAGAAGCGAACUCGCGAGAGCAAGCGGACCUCAUAAAGUAUGUCGUAGUCCGGAUUGGAGUCUGCAACUCGACUCCAUGAAGUCGGAAUCGCUAGUAAUCGUAGAUCAGAAUGCUACGGUGAAUACGUUCCCGGGCCUUGUACACACCGCCCGUCACACCAUGGGAGUGGGUUGCAAAAGAAGUAGGUAGCUUAACCUUCGGGAGGGCGCUUACCACUUUGUGAUUCAUGACUGGGGUGAAGUCGUAACA